rnacentral:rRNA from 1 species
GAGGUUAAGCGACUAAGCGUACACGGUGGAUGCCCUGGCAGUCAGAGGCGAUGAAGGACGUGCUAAUCUGCGAUAAGCGCCGGUAAGGUGAUAUGAACCGUUAUAACCGGCGAUUUCCGAAUGGGGAAACCCAGUGUGACUCGUCACACUAUCAUUAACUGAAUCCAUAGGUUAAUGAGGCGAACCGGGGGAACUGAAACAUCUAAGUACCCCGAGGAAAAGAAAUCAACCGAGAUUCCCCCAGUAGCGGCGAGCGAACGGGGAGGAGCCCAGAGCCUGAAUCAGCAUGUGUGUUAGUGGAAGCGUCUGGAAAGGCGCGCGAUACAGGGUGACAGCCCCGUACACAAAAGCGCAUGUGCUGUGAGCUCGAUGAGUAGGGCGGGACACGUGGUAUCCUGUCUGAAUAUGGGGGGACCAUCCUCCAAGGCUAAAUACUCCUGACUGACCGAUAGUGAACCAGUACCGUGAGGGAAAGGCGAAAAGAACCCCGGCGAGGGGAGUGAAAAAGAACCUGAAACCGUGUACGUA